rnacentral:rRNA from 1 species
CUUUCAACAACGGAUCUCUUGGUUCCAGCAUCGAUGAAGAACGCAGCGAAAUGCCAUAACUAAUGUGAAUUGCAGAAUUCAGUGAAUCAUCGAGUCUUUUGAACGCACAUUGCGCCCCUCGGUAUUCCUGGGGGGCAUGCCUGUUCGAGCGUC